rnacentral:rRNA from 1 species
CGGGAAAAGCUCAAAUUUAAAAUCUGGUAGUCUUUGGCUGCCCGAGUUGUAAACUAGAGAAGUGUUAUCCGUAUUGGACCAUGUAAAAGUCUCCUGGAAUGGAGCAUCAUGGAGGGUGAGAAUCCCGU